rnacentral:tRNA from 1 species
GCCUGGGUGGCUUAGUUGGUUUAAGCCUCUGACUUCAGCUCAGGUCAUGAUCUCGCAGUUGGUGGGUUCAAGCCCCAUGUUGGGCU